AAUCAUAAUAAAAGUUAAGUACAUCUUGCGAGGAAUUUCCAUUACCUUUUCUUGCUAUUACAUCUUUGGCUAUCUAACACCUUUACCGCUGCGUUAUUCUUGAGAUUUUAUUCAAAGUGCUUUUCCGCAUAAAUCCUUCAUAGAGUGAAAAACAUGCCUCCGGAAGAAAGACGUCUACGUAGUUAUAAUGCAAGUGUUUACGCCUUUCGCUCGAAUUGACCAAAUUUACAAGCGCGUGUUCAUUAAACUAUGACACUAUACAAACGUAGCUGCCGUCCAAACUAAAAUGUUACGGCAGGAUGAAAAUGAGCAAGAGCAUUACUGUUAUUGUCUUUCUUCUUUUUAUUUAAAACCAUUUGGUC